CAGAGGGGGCGAGCGUUAUUCGGAAUUAUUGGGCGUAAAGGGCGCGUAGGCGGCCUUUCAAGUGACGGGUGAAAUCCCUCGGCUUAACCGAGGAACUGCCUGUCAGACUGGAAGGCUUGAGACCGGGAGAGGUGAGUGGAAUUCCCAGUGUAGCGGUGAAAUGCGUAGAUAUUGGGAGGAACACCAGUGGCGAAGGCGGCUCACUGGACCGGUACUGACGCUGAGGCGCGAAAGCGUGGGGAGCAAAUAGGAUUAGAUACCCUGGUAGUCCACGCCGUAAACGAUGAGUGCUUGGUGUAGCGGGUAUCGACCCCUGCUGUGCCGAAGUCAACACAUUAAGCACUCCGCCUGGGGAGUACGGUCGCAAGACUG
rnacentral:rRNA from 1 species